rnacentral:tRNA from 1 species
UAUUAUUUUGGCAGAGAAGUGUGUUAGAUUUAGAAUCUUUUUAUGUAAAUUUAUUUACAAAUAAU